rnacentral:rRNA from 1 species
UACGUAGGGUGCAAGCGUUAUCCGGAUUUAUUGGGCGUAAAGGGCGCGUAGGCGGCCUCCGCAAGUCAGUUGUGAAAUCUCCGAGCUUAACUCGGAAAGGUCAACUGAUACUGCGGGGCUAGAGUGCGGAAGGGGCAACUGGAAUUCUUGGUGUAGCGGUGAAAUGCGUAGAUGUCAAGAGGAACACCUGCGGCGAAGGCGGGUGCUGGGCCGACACUGACGCUGAAGCGCGAAAGCUAGGGGAGCGAACGGG